rnacentral:rRNA from 1 species
UACAGAGGGUGCAAGCGUUGCUCGGAUUUACUGGGCGUAAAGCGUACGCAGACGGCUUGGAAGGUCGGACGUGAAAGCCCCGGGCUCAACCCGGGAAAUGCGUCCGAAACCACCUUGCUUGAGUAUGAGAGAGGAAAGCGGAAUUCUUGGUGUAGCGGUGAAAUGCGUAGAUAUCAAGAGGAACACCUGAGGUGAAGACGGGUUGCUGGGCUGAUACUGACGCUGAAGCGCGAAAGCUAGGGUAGCAAACGGG